CUGUAGACUUACAGUCACAGACAACUGCUAACCACAUCUAUCAAAUAUCUUCAUGGCAACACCUCAAUUAGUGUUUGAUUGAGUAACUAUAACCUAGCCAGGUUGACACAUACACUUAACCCUCACAAUGGGGGAAUUCGUUUUCCUUUGAAUUGAUAUGUAUUUAUUUCCUAAUUGUGUUAGGAACAUUCUAACUGCUUAUCAAAACCUUGAUUUCACAGCUGUUAUUGCCUAAGAUGAGGUUAAGUUUUAAAAGUGAGCUAAGUUAAAGAAACAUAUAAAGUAAACAAUAGUAGGUAGUACUUGAGAGGACAAAAAUCACGAAGGUGAUAAUACCUCACAACUGAAAUUUGGAAAACGGUGAAGAUGUUUAACUUCUGUAAAGAACACAGGCUUUAAGAUCAGAAAAAUCUGAAUUUGGACCAGUUCUACCUUUCUCCAAGUGUGCAACCUUGGACAGUCUACUUCAUUUAUUUCAUUAACUUCUGCUGUCUUGAUCUUUCUUAUUUCCUUCUUUCUUCGUAUUUUUUUUAUUCAGUUCUUUUUUUGGAGACAGAGCCUUACUCUGUUGUCCAGGUGGCACAAUCUCAGUUCACUACAACCUCCGCCUCCCCGGGUUCAAGCAAUUCUCCUGCGUCAGCCUCCCAAGUAGCUGGAAUUACAGGGUCAUCCGUCGGGGCAGAAGAACCCGGCUAAAGACCCAGAAGUUUUGAGGCCCUAUUGGGCUGUCAGCACCAUGGACAGCAAAACAGCCCUUGAGCGGCUGCCCAACAAAUUUGCUAACAUCUUGGACUCCGUUUUCCCUGUUUAAGAGAGAUUGACACAAUGAAGCUUGCCUAAGAAAUGCAACCAAUUGUUUUCUAAUAGUAAAACACAAGGUAUAGGGGUGGGAGUUGGGGGAUAGUCAAUGUGGUCCCGGCAGCGGAAAUAAAUGUGUUUCUUAUCUGUAUCCUCCAGCUGGUUCCAGGCUCUUCUCCUCUGACAUUAUUAAAAGCCUGGCAGGUACUUUGAAUGUUUGUUUC
rnacentral:lncRNA from 1 species